AGGCAGGCGGCGGCUACCAUGCAGUCGAGCGGUAACCAGAGAGCUUGCUCUCGGGUGACGAGCGGCGGACGGGUGAGUAAUGUCUGGGAAACUGCCUGAUGGAGGGGGAUAUCUACUGGGAACGGUAGCUAAUACCGCAUAACGUCGCAAGACCAAAGAGGGGGACCUUCGGGCCUCUUGCCAUCACAUGUGCCCCCAUGGGAUUAGCUAGUAGGUGGGGUAACGGCUCACCUAGGCGACAAUCCCUAUCUGGGCUGAGAGGAUGACCACCCCCACUGGAACUGAGACACGGUCCACACUCCUACGGGAGGCGGCAGUGGGGAAUAUUGCGCAAUGGGCGCAAGCCUGAUGCAGCCAUGCCCCGUGUAUGAAAAAAGCCUUCGCGUUGUAAAAUAUUUUCUCCGCGGAGAAAAGUGUUGUGGGUAAUAACCUCUCCCUUUGAUAUUCUUCGCCGAAAAAUCUCCGCUGAAUGGA
rnacentral:rRNA from 1 species